rnacentral:rRNA from 1 species
UGCGUAGGUGGUGGACUAAGUCGGGUGUGAAAUCUCCGGGCUCAACCCGGAGGGUGCGCCCGAAACUGGUCUGCUCGAGGAUGGGAGGGGAGACUGGAAUUCUCGGUGUAGCAGUGAAAUGCGUAGAUAUCGAGAGGAACACCGGUGGCGAAGGCGAGUCUCUGGACCAUUCCUGACACUGAGGCACGAAAGCCGGGGGAGCAAACA